rnacentral:rRNA from 1 species
CCUACGGGGGCUGCAGUGGGGAAUAUUGGACAAUGGGCGAAAGCCUGAUCCAGCCAUGCCGCGUGUGUGAAGAAGGCCUUCGGGUUGUAAAGCACUUUCAGUGGGGAAGAAAGCCUUGGGGCUAAUACCCUCGAGGAAGGACAUCACCCACAGAAGAAGCACCGGCUAACUCCGUGCCAGCAGCCGCGGUAAUACGGAGGGUGCGAGCGUUAAUCGGAAUUACUGGGCGUAAAGCGCGCGUAGGCGGUCUGAUAAGCCGGUUGUGAAAGCCCCGGGCUCAACCUGGGAACGGCAUCCGGAACUGUCAGGCUAGAGUGCAGGAGAGGAAGGUAGAAUUCCCGGUGUAGCGGUGAAAUGCGUAGAGAUCGGGAGGAAUACCAGUGGCGAAGGCGGCCUUCUGGACUGACACUGACGCUGAGGUGCGAAAGCGUGGGUAGCAAACAGGAUUAGAUACCCCAGAGUC